rnacentral:rRNA from 1 species
CUACCAUGCAGUCGACGGGAUUGUUUUUGAGCUUGCUCGAGGACAAUCCAGUGGCGGACGGGUGAGUAACGCGUGAGGAACCUGCCUUUCAGAGGGGGAUAACGUCUGGAAACGGACGCUAAUACCGCAUGAUAUUUCGAAGCCGCAUGGUUUUGAAAUCAAAGGAGCAAUCCGCUGAGAGAUGGACUCGCGUCCGAUUAGCCAGUUGGCGGGGUAAUGGCCCACCAAAGCCGCGAUCGGUAGCCGGACUGAGAGGUUGAACGGCCACAUUGGGACUGAGACACGGCCCAGACUCCUACGGGAGGCAGCAGUGGGGGAUAUUGCACAAUGGAGGAAACUCUGAUGCAGCAACGCCGCGUGAGGGAAGAAGGUCUUCGGAUUGUAAACCUUUGUCCCCGGGGACGAUAAUGACGGUACCCGGGGAGGAAGCUCCGGCUAACUACGUGCCAGCAGCCGCGGUAAUACGUAGGGAGCAAGCGUUGUCCGGAUUUACUGGGUGUAAAGGGUGCGUAGGCGGCUAUGCAAGUCAGGUGUGAAAACCAUCGGCUUAACCGAUGGACUGCACUUGAAACUGUGUGGCUUGAGUGGAGUAGAGGCAGACGGAAUUCCCGGUGUAGCGGUGAAAUGCGUAGAGAUCGGGAGGAACACCAGUGGCGAAGGCGGUCUGCUGGGCUUUAACUGACGCUGAGGCACGAAAGCAUGGGUAGCAAACAGGAUUAGAUACCCUGGUAGUCCAUGCC